rnacentral:rRNA from 1 species
GGGUUGUGAGGUUAAGCGACUAAGCGUACACGGUGGAUGCCCUGGCAGUCAGAGGCGAUGAAGGACGUGCUAAUCUGCGAAAAGCGUCGGUAAGGUGAUAUGAACCGUUAUAACCGGCGAUGUCCGAAUGGGGAAACCCAGUGCAAUUCGUUGCACUAUCGUUAACUGAAUACAUAGGUUAACGAGGCGAACCGGGGGAACUGAAACAUCUAAGUACCCCGAGGAAAAGAAAUCAACUGAGAUUCCCCCAGUAGCGGCGAGCGAACGGGGAGCAGCCCAGAGUCUGAAUCAGCUUGUGUGUUAGUGGAACGGUCUGGAAAGUCCGACGGUACAGGGUGAUAGUCCCGUACACCAAAAUGCACAGGCUGUGAACUCGAAGAGUAGGGCGGGACACGUGGUAUCCUGUCUGAAUAUGGGGGGACCAUCCUCCAAGGCUAAAUACUCCUGACUGACCGAUAGUGAACCAGUACCGUGAGGGAAAGGCGAAAAGAACCCCGGCGAGGGGAGUGAAAAAGAACCUGAAACCGUGUACGUACAAGCAGUGGGAGCACCUUCGGGUGUGACUGCGUACCUUUUGUAUAAUGGGUCAGCGACUUAUAUUCUGUAGCAAGGUUAACCGUAUAGGGGAGCCGCAGGGAAACCGAGUCUUAACUGGGCGUUAAGUUGCAGGGUAUAGACCCGAAACCCGGUGAUCUAGCCAUGGGCAGGUUGAAGGUUGGGUAACACUAACUGGAGGACCGAACCGACUAAUGUUGAAAAAUUAGCGGAUGACUUGUGGCUGGGGGUGAAAGGCCAAUCAAACCGGGAGAUAGCUGGUUCUCCCCGAAAGCUAUUUAGGUAGCGCCUCGUGAACUCAUCUUCGGGGGUAGAGCACUGUUUCGGCUAGGGGGUCAUCCCGACUUACCAACCCGAUGCAAACUACGAAUACCGAAGAAUGUUAUCACGGGAGACACACGGCGGGUGCUAACGUCCGUCGUGAAGAGGGAAACAACCCAGACCGCCAGCUAAGGUCCCAAAGUCAUGGUUAAGUGGGAAACGAUGUGGGAAGGCACAGACAGCCAGGAUGUUGGCUUAGAAGCAGCCAUCAUUUAAAGAAAGCGUAAUAGCUCACUGGUCGAGUCGGCCUGCGCGGAAGAUGUAACGGGGCUAAACCAUGCACCGAAGCUGCGGCAGCGACACUAUGUGUUGUUGGGUAGGGGAGCGUUCUGUAAGCCUGCGAAGGUGUGCUGUGAGGCAUGCUGGAGGUAUCAGAAGUGCGAAUGCUGACAUAAGUAACGAUAAAGCGGGUGAAAAGCCCGCUCGCCGGAAGACCAAGGGUUCCUGUCCAACGUUAAUCGGGGCAGGGUGAGUCGACCCCUAAGGCGAGGCCGAAAGGCGUAGUCGAUGGGAAACAGGUUAAUAUUCCUGUACUUGGUGUUACUGCGAAGGGGGGACGGAGAAGGCUAUGUUAGCCGGGCGACGGUUGUCCCGGUUUAAGCAUGUAGGCUGGUUGUCCAGGCAAAUCCGGAUAAUCAAGGCUGAGGUGUGAUGACGAGGCACUACGGUGCUGAAGUAACAAAUGCCCUGCUUCCAGGAAAAGCCUCUAAGCAUCAGGUAACAUCAAAUCGUACCCCAAACCGACACAGGUGGUCAGGUAGAGAAUACCAAGGCGCUUGAGAGAACUCGGGUGAAGGAACUAGGCAAAAUGGUGCCGUAACUUCGGGAGAAGGCACGCUGGUGUGUAGGUGAAGUCCCUGCGGAUGGAGCUGAGACCAGUCGAAGAUACCAGCUGGCUGCAACUGUUUAUUAAAAACACAGCACUGUGCAAACACGAAAGUGGACGUAUACGGUGUGACGCCUGCCCGGUGCCGGAAGGUUAAUUGAUGGGGUUAUCCGUAAGGAGAAGCUCUUGAUCGAAGCCCCGGUAAACGGCGGCCGUAACUAUAACGGUCCUAAGGUAGCGAAAUUCCUUGUCGGGUAAGUUCCGACCUGCACGAAUGGCGUAAUGAUGGCCAGGCUGUCUCCACCCGAGACUCAGUGAAAUUGAACUCGCUGUGAAGAUGCAGUGUACCCGCGGCAAGACGGAAAGACCCCGUGAACCUUUACUAUAGCUUGACACUGAACAUUGAGCCUUGAUGUGUAGGAUAGGUGGGAGGCUUUGAAGCGUGGACGCCAGUCUGCGUGGAGCCAACCUUGAAAUACCACCCUUUAAUGUUUGAUGUUCUAACGUUGGCCCCUGACCGGGGUUGCGGACAGUGUCUGGUGGGUAGUUUGACUGGGGCGGUCUCCUCCCAAAGCGUAACGGAGGAGCACGAAGGUUAGCUAAUCCUGGUCGGACAUCAGGAGGUUAGUGCAAUGGCAUAAGCUAGCUUGACUGCGAGCGUGACGGCGCGAGCAGGUGCGAAAGCAGGUCAUAGUGAUCCGGUGGUUCUGAAUGGAAGGGCCAUCGCUCAACGGAUAAAAGGUACUCCGGGGAUAACAGGCUGAUACCGCCCAAGAGUUCAUAUCGACGGCGGUGUUUGGCACCUCGAUGUCGGCUCAUCACAUCCUGGGGCUGAAGUAGGUCCCAAGGGUAUGGCUGUUCGCCAUUUAAAGUGGUACGCGAGCUGGGUUUAGAACGUCGUGAGACAGUUCGGUCCCUAUCUGCCGUGGGCGCUGGAGAAUUGAGGGGGGCUGCUCCUAGUACGAGAGGACCGGAGUGGACGCAUCACUGGUGUUCGGGUUGUCAUGCCAAUGGCACUGCCCGGUAGCUAAAUGCGGAAGAGAUAAGUGCUGAAAGCAUCUAAGCACGAAACUUGCCCCGAGAUGAGUUCUCCCUGAGACUUUAAGUCUCCUGAAGGAACGUU